rnacentral:rRNA from 1 species
GACGAACGCUGGCGGCGUGCUUAACACAUGCAAGUCGAGCGGUAAGGCCCUUUCGGGGGUACACGAGCGGCGAACGGGUGAGUAACACGUGGGUGACCUGCCCUCAGCUCUGGGAUAAGCCUGGGAAACCGGGUCUAAUACCGGAUAUGACUCCAUGACGCAUGUUGUGGGGUGGAAAGCCUUGUGCGGCUGAGGAUGGGCCCGCGGCCUAUCAGCUUGUUGGUGGGGUGAUGGCCACCAAGGCGACGACGGGUAGCCGGCCUGAGAGGGCGACCGGCCACACUGGGACUGAGACACGGCCCAGACUCCUACGGGAGGCAGCAGGUGGGGAAUCUUGCGCAAUGGGCGAAAGCCUGACGCAGCGACGCCGCGUGAGGGAUGACGGCC